AUCCAUUCAUCAGUUGAUGGACAUUUAGGCUCUUUCCAUAAUUUGGCUAUUGUUGAGAGUGCUGCUAUAAACAUUGAGGUACAAGUGCCCCUGUGCAUCAGCACUCCUGUAUCCCUUGGGUAAAUUCCAACAGUGCUAUUGCUGGGUCAUAGGGUAGGUCUAUUUUUAAUUUUUGAGGAACCUCCACACUGUUUUCCAGAGCGGCUGCACCAGUUUGCAUUCCCACCAACAGUGCAAGAGGGUUCCCGUUUCUCCACAUCCUCACCAGCACCUAUAGUCUCCUGAUUUGUUCAUUUUAGCCACUCUGACUGGCGUGAGGUGAUCUCUGAGUGUGGUUUUGAUUUGUAUUUCCCUGAUGAGGAGCGACGUUGAGCAUCUUUUCAUGUGCCUGUUGGCCAUCUGGAUGUCUUCUUUAGAGAAGUGUCUAUUCAUGUUUUCUGCCCAUUUCUUCACUGGAUUAUUUGUUUUUCAGGUGUGGAGUUUCGUGAGUUCUUUAUAGAUUUUGGAUACUAGCCCUUUGUCCGAUAUGUCAUUUGCAAAUAUCUUCUCCCAUUCUGUCGGUUGCUUUUUAGUUUUAUUUGCUUGUUUUCUUUGCAGAAGCUUUUUAUCUUCAUGAGGGACCACAUAUCAUCCCGCACUUCCCCAGCGCUGGAGCAUAUGGAGCAGGACUUUGAAUCCUAGGCAAGCACAGGGUCAGGGGAGUUGGCAGAGAGAGAAGGACCACCCUGUCUGUGCCCGCGGCAUAGUAAGGACAACUCAAACUGAGUCCACCGGGUCCAGCUCCUUGGAGAAGAGACUAGGGGAUCACCAUUCCCCCCCACCAACACCACCAAGGCGGAGCCUCAGGGAUCACUCCCAAGGCCCACAGUGGAGGCAGCCAUUUGUCAAGCAUGCGUUGCAAAGAUUGGAAAGAGGAGAAAACACAAGAGAAAAUAUUUUUCACUGUUUUAUCAACUCCCCAGGUUAUUGUUAUUAAGAGAAGAAAGGAUGGCAAGAUGAAAGGACAUUACUCCCAUAGGAAAAAACAAACAAGCAAAAAAAAACCCAAUAAACAAUGGCAUCUCUCUUGAAAGAAAUAUUCC
rnacentral:lncRNA from 1 species